GACGAACGCUGGCGGCGUGCCUAAUACAUGCAAGUAGAACGCACAGUUUAUACCGUAGCUUGCUACACCAUAGACUGUGAGUUGCGAACGGGUGAGUAACGCGUAGGUAACCUGCCUGGUAGCGGGGGAUAACUAUUGGAAACGAUAGCUAAUACCGCAUAAUAUUAAUUAUUGCAUGAUAAUUAAUUGAAAGGUGCAAUUGCACCACUACCAGAUGGACCUGCGUUGUAUUAGCUAGUAGGUGAGGUAACGGCUCACCUAGGCGACGAUACAUAGCCGACCUGAGAGGGUGAUCGGCCACACUGGGACUGAGACACGGCCCAGACUCCUACGGGAGGCAGCAGUAGGGAAUCUUCGGCAAUGGACGAAAGUCUGACCGAGCAACGCCGCGUGAGUGAAGAAGGUUUUCGGAUCGUAAGGCUCUGUUGUAAGAGAAGAACGGGUGUGAGAG
rnacentral:rRNA from 1 species